rnacentral:rRNA from 1 species
UGCCAGACUCCUACGGGAGGCAGCAGUGAGGAAUAUUGGUCAAUGGCCGGAAGGCUGAACCAGCCAAGUCGCGUGAGGGACGACUGCCCUAUGGGUUGUAAACCUCUUUUAUAAGGGAAGAAUAAAUGCUACGUGUAGCAUGAUGCCUGUACCUUAUGAAUAAGCAUCGGCUAACUCCGUGCCAGCAGCCGCGGUAAUACGGAGGAUCCGAGCGUUAUCCGGAUUCAUUGGGUUUAAAGGGUGCGUAGGUUGUUUUAUAAGUUAGCGGUGAAAUACCGAUGCUCAACAUCGGGGCUGCCGCUAAUACUGUAGGACUAGAGAUCGGAUGCAGCAGGCGGAAUGUGUAGUGUAGCGGUGAAAUGCAUAGAUAUUACACAGAACACCGAUUGCGAAGGCAGCUUGCUAGGCCGGAUCUGACACUGAUGCACGAAAGCGUGGGGAUCGAACAGGAUUAGAUACCCCCGUAAGA